rnacentral:rRNA from 1 species
UACGAAGGUCCCGAGCGUUAUCCGGAUUUAUUGGGUUUAAAGGGUGCGUAGGCGGGUUAUUAAGUCAGUGGUGAAAGCCUACAGCUUAACUGUAGAAUUGCCAUUGAUACUGAUGAUCUUGAGUAUGAUUGAGGUGGGCGGAAUGUGUCAUGUAGCGGUGAAAUGCUUUAGAUAUGACACAGAACACCGAUUGCGAAGGCAGCUCACUAGUCAACAACUGA